UACGUAGGGGGCUAGCGUUAUCCGGAAUUACUGGGCGUAAAGGGUGCGUAGGCGGUCUUUCAAGCCAGAAGUGAAAGGCUACGGCUCAACCGUAGUAAGCUUUUGGAACUGUAAGACUUGAGUGCAGGAGAGGAGAGUGGAAUUCCUAGUGUAGCGGUGAAAUGCGUAGAGAUUAGGAAGAACACCAGUGGCGAAGGCGAUUCUCUGGACUGUAACUGACGCUGAGGCUCGAAAGCGUGGGGAGCAAACAGGAUUAGAUACCCCCGUAGUCCCUGAG
rnacentral:rRNA from 1 species